rnacentral:rRNA from 1 species
GACGAACGCUGGCGGCGUGCUUAACACAUGCAAGUCGAACGAAGUGGCGAACGGGUGAGUAACGCGUAAUCAACCUGCCCUUCAGAGGGGGACAACAGUUGGAAACGACUGCUAAUACCGCAUACUGCAGCAGGGGCUUGCGUCUGAUUGUGUAGUAGGGGGGGUAAAGGCCCCACAAGGCGAUGAUCAGUAGCCGGUCUGAGAGGAUGAACGGCCACAUUGGGACUGAGACACGGCCCAUACUCCUACGGGAGGCAGCAGUGGGGAAUCUUCCGAAAUGGACGAAAGUCUGACGGAGCAACGCCGCGUUAGUGAUGACGGCCUUCGGGUUGUAAAGCUCUGUUAAUCGGGACGCGGUACCGGAAUAGAAAGCCACGGCUAACUACGUGCCAGCAGCCGCGGUAAUAC